AUUGAACGCUGCGGCAGGCUUAACACAUGCAAGUCGAGCGAGCGGCUGACGGGUGCUUUAUGCUUAGGUAUCUGCCUCUUAGUGGUGGUCCACAUCUCUCAAUGGCUGCUAUUACCGCAUACUAUUAGUUGAGCCUAAGUCGGAUUAGCUUGUUGGUGGGUUAAAGGCCUACCAAGGCGACGAUCGGUAGCGGGUCUGAGAGGAUGAUCCGCCACACUGGGACUGAGACACGGCCCAGACUCCUACGGGAGGCAGCAGUGGGGAAUAUUGGACAAUGGGGGGAACCCUGAUCCAGCCAUGGCGCGUGUGUGAAGAAGGCCUUAUGGUUGUAAAGCACUUUAAGCGAGGAGGAGGUAGUCGAAGAAGAAGCACCGGCUAACUCUGUGCCAGCAGCCGCGGUAAUUG
rnacentral:rRNA from 1 species